rnacentral:SRP_RNA from 1 species
GCUGGCCGUGGUGGUGCAUGACUAUAAUCCCUGCUACCGGAAAAGCUGAGGCUAGCAGACCACUUAAGUUUGGGGGUUCUAAGCUGCAGUAGGGCUAAAACUGAUUGGGUGUAUAGAUUAAAUUGGCAACAAUAUGGUGAGCCCCCAGGAAUGAGAGUCAGGCUGCAUAAGGAGGGGCAAACCAGCCUAGGUUGUAAACGGAGAAAGUUAAAGCUCCAGUGUCCAUCAUUAAUUGGAUCAGGCUUGUGAAUGGCCACUUCUUUUCCAGUCUGGAUAAGAUAGGGAGACCUAGCCUCA